rnacentral:rRNA from 1 species
UACGGAGGGUGCAAGCGUUAUCCGGAUUUACUGGGUUUAAAGAGUGUGUAGGCGGUGCUCCAAGUCUGGUGUGAAAUCUCCCGGCUUAACUGGGAGGGUGCAUUAGAAACUGGAAUGCUAGAGGAUGGGAGAGGUAAGCGGAAUUCCUGGUGUAGCGGUGAAAUGCGUAGAUAUCAGGAGGAACACCUGUGGUGUAGACAGCUUACUGGACCAUUUCUGACGCUGAGACACGAAAGCGUGGGUAGCAAACAGG